rnacentral:rRNA from 1 species
UACGUAGGGUGCGAGCGUUAAUCGGAAUUACUGGGCGUAAAGCGUGCGCAGGCGGUUUUGUAAGGCAGAUGUGAAAUCCCCGGGCUCAACCUGGGAAUGGCAUUUGGGACUGCAAGGCUUGAGUGCGGCAGAGGAGACUGGAAUUCCUGGUGUAGCAGUGAAAUGCGUAGAUAUCAGGAGGAAUACCGAUGGCGAAGGCAGGUCUCUGGGCUGACACUGACGCUCAUGCACGAAAGCGUGGGGAGCAAACAGG